UACUGUUUUGUACAUUAGUAUAUAACAUAAAUACGAAAAUAUGAACAGCAAUAAGUGCAAAUUAAACGAAUAAACAAUUUUGUAAUAAACAGUUGUAAUUACAACUGUUUUUAUUCAACACUUACUUGAACUUACAGUUCAGAAAAGUAGUACAGUUAAUUAAUUUAUUAAGUUAUUUUUUGUUUAUGAUUUAAUUGUUCCAAUUAUUAUUUCCGCGUUGAAAGAACUAUUUCGUAUACAAUAUAAACUAUUACGAAAACAAUACAUCUAGUUAAGUCCUCGACCAGCAUUUCUUGCUUGAAACGUGUUCCGCAGAACCCUGGGGUUUCCUAGAGACCACCGAAGAGUUUUUCUAAAGUCCUAGAUCACCCUUUCUUAAACUAGAACCCUGAGGUUUUGUGGAGAUUACCGAAGGGUUUUAAAAGUCAGCUAGUUAAGACCUAAAUCAUCGUUUCUUAAACGAUGUUCCGCAGAACCCUGGGGUUUUGUGGAUAUCAAUAAAGGGUUACACGAAACAUGCCUGUGUUUUACGAAUUCUAGACCACCAAUCCUUAAACAAAGUUCCGCAGAACCCUGGGAUUUCCUGGAGAUCACCUAACAGUCUUUCUAAAGUCCUAGACCACCCUUUCUUAAACCAGAACCCUGGGGUUUUGUAAAGAUCACUAAAUGGUUUCACGAGACAUAAUUGCUUUUUUUCUAAAGUCAGCUAGUUAAGUCCUAAACCACCGUUUCUUAAACUAAGUUCCGCAGAACCCUGGGGUUUCCUGGAGAUCACCGAAGAGUUUUUCUAAAGUCCUAGAUCACCCUUUCUUAAACUAGAACCCUGGGGUUUUGUGGAGAUUACCAAAGGGUUUCACGAAACAUAAGUGCUUUUCUUUAAGUCAGCUAGUUAAGUCCUAAACCACCCUUUCUUAAGCCAGAACCCUAGGGUUUUGUGAAGAUCACUGAAGGAUUUCACAAAACAUAAGUGCUUUUUUUUUGUAAAUCAGCUACUUAAGUCCUAAACUACCGUUUCUUAAACAAAGUUCCGCAAAACCCUGGGGUUUCGUGGAGAUCACCUAACAGUUUUUCUAAAGUAUUAAACCACCCUUUCUUAAGCCAGAACCCUAGGGUUUUGUGAAGAUCACUAAAGGAUUUCACAAAACGUAAGUGUUUCUUUUUGUAAAUCAGCUAGUUAAGUCCUAAACUACCGUUUCUUAAACAAAGUUCCGCAAAACCCUGGGGUUUCGUGGAGAUCACCUAACAGUUUUUCUAAAGUAUUAAACCACCCUUUCUUAAGCCAGAACCCUAGGGUUUUGUGAAGAUCACUAAAGGAUUUCACAAAACGUAAGUGCUUUUUGUUUGUAAAUCAGCUAGUUAAGUCCUAAACUACCGUUUCUUAAACAAAGUUCCACAAAACCCUGGGGUUUCGUGGAGAUCACCUAAUAGUUUUUUUAAAGUCCUAAACCACCCUUUCUUAAGCCAGAACCCUGGGGUUUCGUGGAGAUCACGGAAGGAUUCUACGAAACUUACGUGCUUUUUUCACAAAACAAUAAAAAUUAACGAAAUUGUCUUUAUGACAUCACAAGAAAUAGAAGACAAAAAAUGUUGAACAAAUUAUUUAACUUCUUAAAAGUUUCAGUAAAACUAUCAUUUUUAUUAAAAAAUUAUUCAUUUAAAGAAUGCUACACGGACAUGAUACUUUAAAGCAAACUUGGGGUUCCAUAAAAAAUAUGAAGAUUGAAAAGGGUUCCGCUUAUCAAAAAAUUUAAGAAGCACUGUCCAAGUUUUUAGCUGUAUAUGACACAACUUGCGACAUCAUACAAUAAGUGACUGAACUAGAGAAAAAUAUUGAUCGACAAUUUAAGUUUUCUUUACACUUUAAUUCAUUAUCUAUAUAUCUCUAUAUAUAUAUAGGAAAAUCAGCUGAUCUAUUACAUAAACAAAAAAUUAUCAACAAAGAUAAUUUAAUAAUAACCAAAUAAACAACGUUUCCACCAGAAAUUAUUUAACAGGAAAAGACGAAAGAGGUCAGUGAUAUCUACAAUCAAUUUUUGGAAAAGAACAUUUUAAAAGUAACAGGCCUUGGUAAAAUUAUCAGUUUUACACUUUUUUGAAUAAUUAAUACAUUUGAGAAGUUUGCGUUAGUCUUCGUGGAUAUUUAACGACUCAAUCAGAAAGGCAACGAAUACAGAAAGAUGGGCCCCGCAUUCACGUUUCUGGUCAUUUUGAUCAUCCACCUUCAGUCAAAUGACGUUUCAGAACAAGCGUCUGUAACCGAAUGUACAAGAAACACAUGUGGUCAAAAUGCCCACUGUACCAUCGCAGGAGGACGUCCUGAAUGUUCCUGUUUUAAUGGGUACACCGGUGACCCCCUGACCUACUGCAGGAAGGGAGAGUGUCAAGACAACUCGGAAUGUAGAGGAUACUUGUCCUGUAUUAACGAAAAAUGCGUUAAUCCUUGUAAAGGAUCCUGUGGUGUCAAUGCCAAGUGCGAGGUUAAAAAUCACGUACCCGUUUGCUCGUCCCCCGGGAUGUACGGGAGACCCGUCUAAUUCCUGCAGGAAAGUAAAACUACAGAAUUGCGAAAAAAAGUACCUACAUAUUUAAAUGAUGGACUACUAACACUUCAAUAAAUGAUUAUAUACUUCAA